UUCCUUUCUCGUGUCUGCUCCCAAACGAUUUUUCUUCCAUUCCAAGGCUGGUCCCCUCGGUCUUUCUCGUCGGAUUCAUUUCCCCAUUCCCCUUCCAUGUCCCCCAACUAGCUUGCCUGGCUCCUACCCCUCUUCGGCUCCCUAGUCCUCCUCUUCUCCGGCGACCCUCCCUGUAGAUCUGGUGAAGGUAGACGCAACUUGGUUCAGGUCUGCAGAUCCGUGUCCGAUUCCAUUUGUUGUAGCUUUGUUGCUGCUCGAUCUGCCUGCAUCUUCUUGCUCGUUUGCUUAAUAGUCGUAACAUCUUGCUUCUUCGAUUACGAUUAUUCUUUCUGGUCCAUUUUAGCAGAAAAAAUGGAUGGCGUUGCUGAAUCUUUUUCUACUUCUGUAGCGAUGAGACUACCUGCGGGACAUUGGCCCUUUAUGGCGAUUCAGUUGUGAGAAAAAGAUGAUAUGGUUGCGGAAUCAUGGUCUAGUUCAGCCAUGCAUCAAUAUGGUUGCCUUUCAGCCUUUGUUUCAGAUUUUCAGAUCCUGAACAUGGAAGCACGCAGUUAGGACCAGCCCAUUGGCCAUUGUUGCUCUCAGCCGCCAACUAAAUACUGUUGUGUUAUCCAUGUUGAA